GAGUAACGCGUAAAGAACUUGCCUUACAGACUGGGACAACAUUUGGAAACGAAUGCUAAUACCGGAUAUUAUGAUUGGGUCGCAUGAUCUGAUUAUGAAAGCUAUAUGCGCUGUGAGAGAGCUUUGCGUCCCAUUAGUUAGUUGGUGAGGUAACGGCUCACCAAGACGAUGAUGGGUAGCCGGCCUGAGAGGGUGAACGGCCACAAGGGGACUGAGACACGGCCCUUACUCCUACGGGAGGCAGCAGUGGGGAAUAUUGGACAAUGGACCAAAAGUCUGAUCCAGCAAUUCUGUGUGCACGAAGAAGUUUUUCGGAAUGUAAAGUGCUUUCAGUUGGGAAGAAGUCAGUGACGGUACCAACAGAAGAAGCGACGGCUAAAUACGUGCCAGCAGCCGCGGUAAUACGUAUGUCGCAAGCGUUAUCCGGAUUUAUUGGGCGUAAAGCGCGUCUAGGCGGCUUAGUAAGUCUGAUGUGAAAAUGCGGGGCUCAACCCCGUAUUGCGUUGGAAACUGCUAAACUAGAGUACUGGAGGGGUAGGCGGAACUACAAGUGUAGAGGUGAAAUUCGUAGAUAUUU
rnacentral:rRNA from 1 species